rnacentral:rRNA from 1 species
AGAUUGAACGCUGGCGGCAUGCUUUACACAUGCAAGUCGAGCGGCAGCGCGGGACUCGGGCAACUGAGCCCUGGCGGCGAGCGGCGGACGGGUGAGGAAUGCAUCGGAACGUGUCCCGUAGAGGGGGAUAGCUCGGCGAAAGCCGGAUUAAUACCGCAUAUGCUCUAUGGAGGAAAGCAGGGGAUCUGUUAAAGGACCUUGCGCUAUGGGAGCGGCCGAUGCCCGAUUAGCUAGUUGGUGAGGUAAAGGCUUACCAAGGCGAAGAUCGGUA